ACUCCUACGGGAGGCAGCAGUGGGGAAUUUUGGACAAUGGGCGAAAGCCUGAUCCAGCAAUGCCGCGUGAGUGAAGAAGGCCUUCGGGUUGUAAAGCUCUUUUGUCAGGGAAGAAACGGUGAGAGCUAAUAUCUUUUGCUAAUGACGGUACCUGAAGAAUAAGCACCGGCUAACUACGUGCCAGCAGCCGCGGUAAUACGUAGGGUGCAAGCGUUAAUCGGAAUUACUGGGCGUAAAGCGUGCGCAGGCGGUUUUGUAAGUCUGAUGUGAAAUCCCCGGGCUCAACCUGGGAAUUGCAUUGGAGACUGCAAGGCUAGAAUCUGGCAGAGGGGGGUAGAAUUCCACGUGUAGCAGUGAAAUGCGUAGAUAUGUGGAGGAACACCGAUGGCGAAGGCAGCCCCCUGGGUCAAGAUUGACGCUCAUGCACGAAAGCGUGGGGAGCAAACAGGAUUAGAAACCCUAGUAGUCCC
rnacentral:rRNA from 1 species